rnacentral:tRNA from 1 species
CCUUCGAUAGCUCAGCUGGUAGAGCGGAGGACUGUAGGGUUAAUUCCGGGGUUAUCCUUAGGUCGCUGGUUCGAUUCCGGCUCGAAGGA